rnacentral:rRNA from 1 species
AGAGUUUGAUCCUGGCUCAGGACGAACGCUGGCGGCGUGCUUAACACAUGCAAGUCGAACGGAGUGCCUCGGAAAGAGAUUUCGGUCAAUGGAAGAGGUUACUUAGUGGCGGACGGGUGAGUAACGCGUGAGGAACCUGCCUUUCAGAGGGGGACAACAGUUGGAAACGACUGCUAAUACCGCAUAACAUAUGUUUGUCGCAUGGCAGAUAUAUCAAAGAUUUAUCGCUGAGAGAUGGCCUCGCGUCUGAUUAGCUGGUUGGUAGGGUAACGGCCUACCAAGGCGACGAUCAGUAGCCGGACUGAGAGGUUGGCCGGCCACAUUGGGACUGAGAUACGGCCCAGACUCCUACGGGAGGCAGCAGUGGGGAAUAUUGGGCAAUGGGCGCAAGCCUGACCCAGCAACGCCGCGUGAAGGAAGAAGGCUUUCGGGUUGUAAACUUCUUUUAAGAGGGAAGAGCAGAAGACGGUACCUCUUGAAUAAGCUCCGGCUAACUACGUG